rnacentral:lncRNA from 1 species
AUAUGUUGUUGUGUUAUUUUCAUUUUUAUGUAUCCCUCAUAUUAAUAUUUAAAAUUCAUGAAAUAAUCUAAAUGAUGGUCAAUUAGUCAACGUAUAUUAUAAUCUAAAUAUAUUUUUAUUAUCUCUUUGUAUUUUUCUCAUUUUUUUUAUUCUAUUUUAGUCACUGCUUUGAGUUGUUCGACAAUGAUGGUUUGAUUAGGUAUUAUUCUUUAUUCCAAUUAUUUUCAUUUUUAUUUUGUUUUGUUUUUUCAUGAAAUUUAUUUUUCUUUGCAUCUUUCAUUUAUUUAUUUUUUAUUUCACAUAAUUAGUUAAUUUUUACGUUUUUUUUUCUUUCACCAUAAAAUUUUUAACAUUAGUUCAAAAACAAGCUAUUACAAACAUAUUUAUUUUUUUAUGGAUGACAUUUCAUUAAUUUUUUUUCUUUUUUAGAUUAAAUAAUGUGCAAUUACGACAUUAUUUCAAAAACAAACAAUUAGAUAUGUAAUGAAGUUUUGUAUUUAUUCAUUAUAUUUGUUUAUUUAUUCACUAAAGAAUUGAAUUUAUUCAUUACAUUUUUUAUUUAUUUAUUCAUUAUAAUCAUUAGUAUAUUCAAUUAAAUGUAAACAAUAUUCAGC